rnacentral:rRNA from 1 species
UACCAGCACCCCGAGUGGUCGGGACGAUUAUUGGGCCUAAAGGCAUCCGUAGCCGGUUCUACAAGUCUUCCGUUAAAUCCACCUGCUUAACAGAUGGGCUGCGGAGGAUACUAUGGAGCUAGGAGGCGGGAGAGGCAAGCGGUACUUAGUGGGUAGGGGUAAAAUCCGUUGAUCCAUUGAAGACCACCAGUGGCGAAGGCGGC